CCAAUUUUCAUAUUCCCUCGCAGCUUUUCUCACAAACCUUAAAAAAAUUUAGAACGCUCCAACAUUUCCCUCCUUUGAAAGCCCAAAAUUUUCAUCUCCCUCUCUUUCAUCGAUACCUAUUCAAACACAAAUUAAAAUAUUUGUCUUUCUAAUUUCACCGAAAACCCACACAUCUCUUACUCCUACCAUGGCUACAGGUGGAAAGCGGAAAUUCAUGUGAAGCUUAAUCGAUGGCUGUUAAGAGAGCUAUGGAGCUUGGGGAAAAGCUUCCUGAAAAGAAGGUUCCGUGUACCAUUGGGAAUAUAGGGAAAGUAAAUGAGACUAUUUGCAUGCCUGAUGAUAAAGAGGUUCCAUGUACCAUUGGAAUUAGGGCCAUUGGAGGGUGAGGCUGUUAUGAGCAAAUUUCAGAAGGUUUAUAAAAAAUUAAGCUGAGCUUUUAAAGGUGUGCCUUUUGAAGAAUUAAUGAAGUUAAAGAACAGGUAUUUGUAAAUUGUAAUUAUGUUCAAAUAGUU